GACGAACGCUGGCGGCGUGCUUAACACAUGCAAGUCGAACGGAAAGGCCUGCUUUCCCUUGUGGAUUGCGGGUGCUCGAGUGGCGAACGGGUGAGUAACACGUGAGUGAUCUGCCCCCAACUUGGGUAUAAGCCUGGGAAACUGGGUCUAAUUACCGAUAGGACUGCAGGGUGGUGCCUGUGGUGGAAAACGAUUUUCUAGUGGUUGGGGAUGAGCUCGCGGCCUGUCAGCUUGUUGGUGGGGUAAUGGCCUACCAAGGCGGCGACGGGUAGCCGGCCUGAGAGGGUGGACGGCCACAUUGGGACUGCGAGACGGCCCAGACUCCUACGGGAGGCAGCAGUGGGUCAUAUUGCACAAUGGGCGGAAGCCUGAUGCAGCGACGCCGCGUGGCGGAUGACGGCCUUCGGGUUGUAAACUCCUUGCGACCGCGAGGAACCCACCUGGACGGAAGGUUGGUGACGGUAGUGGUACAAGAAGCACCGGCUAACUACGUG
rnacentral:rRNA from 1 species